rnacentral:misc_RNA from 1 species
UUGGGAUUGGGGAAGAGUAAUCGAGCAACAAAAUUCAGCCUCAGCUCAGCUAUUACGACGUUGACCUAUUAUGAAUAAGUACUUGAUAUAAUUAAAUAACUUCUACUAUGGCACACUACUCUUCACAGAUACUAUGAUUUGACAGUUCCUCAAUCUAACAUCAGUGGAACCGUACCAUACAUAUGACCGGAUUUUCUUAUCUGGUCCCUUCAAGCAUUCAGAACAGCACAAACAAAACAAUGGGCAUAACUGUCCGGUUCUAGCAGAAACACAGAAUGGACAAAUUGUGGAAACGGUCCGCAAAAGUCCCUUGUCAACCACCACUACUAGAGCGGCUAAAUAAGGGACAUACAAGACAAACUUGAAUUCAUGGCUCCAAUAGAUUCAGAAUGCUAUUGUCGCAAAAUUUCAGUAAGACUUAAAACUUUCCCUUUCAUUCAUAGAUAUUACAAUUCCCUCCCCCCAUCCUCAUCUGCAGUUGCCUGUUCAGAAUUGGCAACAUUUAUCUCAUCCUUGGUUGAUUUUGCCCUCUCAUCUUCACCACUCUCUCCUUGUUUAAUUGCAACACCAUCUGGCUUUGUUGCUUCCA